rnacentral:rRNA from 1 species
AGGACGAACGCUGGCGGCGUGCUUAACACAUGCAAGUCGAGCGGUAAGGCCUUUCGGGGUACACGAGCGGCGAACGGGUGAGUAACACGUGGGUGAUCUGCCCUGCACUUCGGGAUAAGCCUGGGAAACUGGGUCUAAUACCGGAUAUGACCUCCUAUCGCAUGGUGGGUGGUGGAAAGAUUUUAUCGGUGCAGGAUGGGCCCGCGGCCUAUCAGCUUGUUGGUGGGGUAAUGGCCUACCAAGGCGACGACGGGUAGCCGACCUGAGAGGGUGACCGGCCACGACUGGGACUGAGACACGGCCCAGACUCCUACGGGAGGCAGCAGUGGGGAAUAGUUGCACAAGUGGGCGAAAGCCUGAUGCAGCGACGCCGCGUGAGGAUGACGGCCGUUCGGGUUGUAAACCUCUUACAGCGAGGACGAAGCGCAAGUGACGGUACCUGACAAGAAGAACGCGAACCGGCUAACGUACGUCG